rnacentral:lncRNA from 1 species
CUUUGCUGAAAUUCUUCCAUGGUUUGAAUCAUCUGAAAGCGUUGAUGUCUGAAGACGUCUGAAGAAAUUUGGAGGCAAAAAAAUCAAGAAAUCUAAAGAGAGACAAAGGUUAGUGUUGCUUUUAGGGCUUUCAAUUCCACCUUUUUUUUUCGUAGUUAUGUCAUGGGUUUGUUUUAGAAACAAAUUUCUUGUGUUUAUGGUGUUUAUUUUGUCCAUUUCGAUGUUAAAUUGGGGUAUUCACUAAAUUAAUUCACGAUUUUGAGAAAAUUAGGGUUUUGCAAAAAUCUUUUUCGAAUUUUUGGGGAAUUAAUUUAAUUUGGUCUUAAGAUUUAUUUUUUGGAAUUUUGUUGGCAAUUUACUAUUUUCCAGAACAAUUUCCAUAAAUAUUGUGACUUUUCAUGGGGUUUUCUUUCUUUUGGUAUUGAGAUUUAAUUUUGGGGUUUUUUUUGUUUCUGCAACUUAUGUGCAUUUGAUUAAUUGAUUAUUUUUUCUUUUGUUUAGGAAAACAUGUUGGGCGAUCAGCAGUAUACACUUAGGAUUAACUACGGGGGAGUUUUGGUGGUGAAGGGGGUAGGUAUAUCAGAGGCAAGGUACACAUUGUUAAAGAUGUUGACCCAGAUUUGAUGUCAUAUUUCGAGAUAAUUGACUUAGUUAAAGAAAUGGGAUACCCUGCCACUACUGUUGUUUGGUUUAUAAUGCCUGCUG